AGUAUGAGUAUAACUCAGCCAGAC
rnacentral:siRNA from 1 species